GCUCCCAUGGCGUAGUGGUCACUGCGCUCGCCUUGCAUGCGGGAGACCUGGGUUCGAUUUCCGGCGGGGUCA
rnacentral:tRNA from 1 species